GCCCUUGUAGCUCAGUGGUAGAGCGCUUCACUCGUAUUCCAAAUACUGCCAUGAAGAGGUCCGCGGUUCAAUCCCGCGUGGGGGCA
rfam:Aspergillus kawachii IFO 4308 DNA, contig: scaffold00032.